CUGCUGAGAUCAAAUGUUAAGUACCCUUUUACAGUUAAGAACACAUUCGUUAUAAUGAAUCACACUCACUAGAACUAGAAGUGAACAUAUCACACGUGCGCGCUUUGCAUGUGUGCGUGUAGAGGAUACUACUAACCUUGAAGCUGGAUGAUGCGGAGAAGGAAUAAGGAGGAGAAACCAAUGUAGAUGAUCGUUGAGAAGAAACGCUUGGGAGGAUGAUCCCACGUGAGUAGCAUGUGACGCUGGUCUCCAUGGCUUAAUUAUGUUUCUGAAGUUUGAGGUUGAUAAAAGAAGAAGAGCUCUCUACAGAGGAUAAAGGUGGAAACAAAAGAUCAAACUCAAGUGGUGUGGUGUAUGUAGGAGAAGAUAAAGUGAUCAUUUAUUGUGUGGUUAUGGUCUUUUUAACGUAUUUUUCCAUUUUGAGAUGAUAUCAUCAACAUCAGUUACUCAAAAAUAAAUGUUUUUUUUUAUUGAAAAUUUUCAAAAAUAGUAUCAGAGCCAGGUUUCGAUCCUGGGACCUGUGGGUUAUGGGCCCACCACGCUUCCGCUGCGCCACUCUGAUUUAUUGAUAAUAACUACAAGAUUAAAAUAUAUAACAGACAACUAGAAGAUAUUGUAGAAAUGUUACUUUACAAUUCGUGUUAUACGACUUUAUAUAGUUUUCUAACAAGACCCAUUUAAGAUUAUAACAGGCCUGUUACUCUAGCUUUAAUGGCCCAAAAUAGAUUUCUUGUUCUCCAAGGAUUAGACGCACACCAAAAGAAUCUAAACCUAUUUUUUUUCCUCCUCGUCUCUUUCUUUCACAUGUUCUCAGAGAUAAGCUGAGAUGCAAUUCGUGAAGGCAAGAACGCAAGUGUUCUGAAACGGUUGUUUUCCAAAAGGAAUGUAUCAGAUUUUUUUAUAGAUAAUAACACAAAAAGACUUCAGGAGACAUCAAUGGAAACAUUAAUGGAUAGAUUACACACUUCACACACAAAGAUACCAAGAGAAAACAAACUGAAUCAGUCUGGCAUUAACUUCAAUUUAGACUAGAGAGAGGAGAUAAUUCUUGAGUUUAAGAUUCAGGAACCGCCGUUGCUGGUGUACCAGCGGCUACUGCGGCGGCUGCAGAGCGUUUGAUGGAAGCGGAUUUGAUCAAGUGGUUGUAGCUACCCUUUUCCUUGAAAGGCUGAGCGAAAUGGUGCUUGCAGUACAAGAUUCCUUCAAGAGCUGCGUAGUUUGAAGGCGAAAUAGGGCAGCCUCCAUGUGAGCACUUGAAGCAGGACUUGUGAUAUGUCUGGCUCUCCACUGUUACCUGCAGUUUUCCCAGAAAGAUGUUUGUCACCAACAAAAGAGCUUUCAAAACCUUUUCUCUUGUGUGCCAGAGAACAUGCCAGCAACUCGGCUAGGAGUCCUUGUCUGAGAACAAACGAAGAAGUUCAAUCUGAGUAAACGUAUCUAAAGAGAUUCUGUAGAAACCAGAUAAAAGAAACAUUUAUACCAGCUCAGGACUUGAUUUCUCAGCUGGUUUUGCAGCUGUAAGGAGAGAAAAGUUCCAAGAUUAAUAGGAAAGCCACAACAAGAAAGGCAAAGCUUAAAGUCUAGAUGGAAAGAAGCAGCAGGAACAAGGAGAAGAGGAAGUACAUACGUGACUGAAAGUUUUUGGUGAAGCUACCAGACUCCUUGAAGAGCUGCUCAUAAUGAGGCUUACAGUACAACACUCCUUCCAUCGAUGAAUAUCUACUCAGCUGUACAAAAAAUUCAUACUUUAUCAGGAUCACUAGAGAAACUUUGAAAUCAAACAGUUAAGAUACCUGAAGCCUGGAUUUGCAGUGGGUGCAUUUGAAGCAAGACUUGUGAUAGCUAACUCCAUCAGCAGAGAGAAGCUCCACAGGGUAGACAGUCUUCUCGCAAGCCUUGCACUUCUGCUGAGUUCCUGUGAAAGAAGACAUCCUUCCUUCAACCCCCUUUUGCCUUUGACCUUUCUUCUCCUUUAAAAUAUCAAAGUCAAGAAACAAUGAGGUUAAGUGAUCAGAUCAAAAAGCACUCAGAAUGAGAUUGUAAGAACAUCGAGAGAAAUAGAUGGAUCUAUUACCUCUCUCUGAGCUGAUAACGUCCAAGAUCUGACGAAAACUGCAAAAAAAAACAUACAGAAAAAGAAGAAGAAGAAGGCUUAACAAACUAGAGGAAGACUUGGGAGAUGCAUAAUGCCAAAAACUCAAGUUAGUAGAGAAGCUAUUACGUACUCUUGCGUCUAUUCACGAAAAUGGAGGAUCUGUGUGAGGAUCAAAGCGAUGAAGAUGAAGAAGAAGAAUAAAAAUGGGAGAUAUGGUUAAAUCUUCCUUUUAUGUUUUUCUUUUUUAGCUGGAGGAGACAAACAGUGGGGUUCCACUUUGGCUUGUCUGUUUUUUCUUUUGUAAUAACAGCAAAAUAUUUGAAGAUUAGAGAAUUCUCUGAAGAUUAUAUUUACAAUAAUAAAACAACAACGAAUGGAUGUUCUUAUCUUAUCUUACUGUAUCAUUUUACCAAAUAAAGGGAUAAUUGAUCUGUUUAAAUUUUUUAUUGAGAAAAAUACUAGUAUAGCACCAAACUAAGUUUUUGUUCCCAAAGUAGCACUCAAUGCUCAAAAUCAUAAAAAUAAGUUUUAUUAAAGAGGUAAAUAUACAUUUAUAUCCCUUGGGUUAAUUAAUCCAAACCUUAGGGUUUAGAGUUAAGGGGUAGGUUUUGGAAUUAGGGUUUAAAAUUUUAUAAAAAAUAAAUACUAAAACAAAAAUAAAAAUUUUUAAAACAGUUUCAAAAAGUAUUUUUAAAUUAUAAAAAGAAAAUUUGAAAAAAAAAUAAAAAAAGUUUCAAAAAAAAAUUAUAAAAAUUUCGAAUCUGAAAACAUAUAAUCUGAAAUUAUAAAAUAAAUUUUUUAUUUUUUUAUUUUAGUUAUUUUUAUUUAUUUUUAUUUAUUUAUUUAAUUUCAAACCAAGGGUAUCAGGGAUAUUUUACCCUUUAAUGAAUGUUAUUUUUGUGACUUUUUCUUUCUAGUGCUAUUUUUGACACAUAAACUUCAAAAGUUGCUAUUAUUGACAAUUGCUCUUUUUUAUUCUCCUCGAAUAUGCUAAAUAAAAAUAUCUAACAUAUCCAUUGCUGUCCACACCACCUAUUAUAGAUUCCUAAACAAAUAGAUAUGCGACGACAAGUAAAGCGUCUUUUGCAUAAUAAAUUGUUUUACUAUUGCAUGUCAUAAUCAGUAGAAUAAUAUAAUUAAAUAUCAUUAAAAGGUUUUGAUAUUCAUAGAAACUAUAUCACUGGAGUGCUAAGUGGAGAAAAUAAAUUGGCAACUCAUUUUUGUUUUGCAAUCCCAUCAAAUUAAUGUUUUAAUUCGUCUAGAGAUAAACAAAUCUGACAAAAAAAAAGUGAAAAAAGGAUUAAAACUAUUAGCUUCUGAGAAAUAUGAUAAUGGGAGCUUCCUUCUGAUGCUUGUGAAAUGAACUCCACGUCUUGAAUCUAGCCUCCUCCUGCAUCAGGAAAUCAAAUCAGGAUACGUGUUGACUCGGACAACACAUAAAACAAGAUCCUAGAAGAAUAAUACAUUACAUCACCAGGCCAAACCCCAAAUAUGGUUCCCACAGUGAAGUUUGUAUCCACAAUGCUGGAUCCAUCCAAUGGAUCAAAUGCCACACUAAACCCACCUUCCACUGGACCUCCCAUGUCUUGAAGCUCAGGUACUUCUUCAGAGCAAGCGUAUUUACACACAUGCGAGUAUUGCAAAGCCUAGAAAAACAAAAACAAAAAAAAAAAUAUUAAUCAAACCCUAAUGAUCCUUGUGACAUAAGUUACUCAAAAUAUAAAGAAAACAACCUCAAAGAGAAGCUUAUCGGCGAGCAUAUCGACAGCGAGUUGUUCAUCGCCAAAGGAAUUAACACAAGCAGUCCCACCACAAGAAGCUGUCCUAACUUUGAAAGCUAUUGUCCUCAACGCUUCUCCCAUACACAUCAGCAAAGUUCUCAAUCCCUUGUCAGGUGUUGCUUCUCUCAAAAACUCUUCCUAUACACUCAAACUCAAUAAUUGAAUCAUCAACAAGAUUUUUAGAUAAAAGAAUUGAGUAAUGUUAUUGCUCUGGAGACUUACCAAGCUUUGACCAAUCUCACAUUUGGUCACAGUCGAACCACCAUUGUUCUUAGCCUUGGUGGCUUUCAAUUGCGAUCUUGGUGCUACUCUUAGUGACUCUCCGAAGAUUGAGCUAGACUUCAGACGCUGCUGAGAUCAAAUGUUAAGUACCCUUUUACAGUUAAGAACACAUUCGUUAUAAUGAAUCACACUCACUAGAACUAGAAGUGAACAUAUCACACGUGCGCGCUUUGCAUGUGUGCGUGUAGAGGAUACUACUAACCUUGAAGCUGGAUGAUGCGGAGAAGGAAUAAGGAGGAGAAACCAAUGUAGAUGAUCGUUGAGAAGAAACGCUUGGGAGGAUGAUCCCACGUGAGUAGCAUGUGACGCUGGUCUCCAUGGCUUAAUUAUGUUUCUGAAGUUUGAGGUUGAUAAAAGAAGAAGAGCUCUCUACAGAGGAUAAAGGUGGAAACAAAAGAUC
rnacentral:lncRNA from 1 species